rnacentral:lncRNA from 1 species
UGAAUUGUGGCUAGGUCAUGUUGGUUGUGUUUGGAAAUGCAUUUCACAUAUAAGAGAUCAAGGAGGCAUUUUGGUUCAAUAAUAUGGGAUAAUCAGUAUGUAAUUUUGUAAGUACAAAUGAUUCAUAGAACUUCAUGUUUUAAUGAAAUAAUUAAUGUUAUCAUCAUACAUAAUUAAGUAAGCAACUAUAUAUACAUGUAUGUGUUACUGAAAAACUUAAGCCAUUAUAAGUUUGAAUUUGUAACUGAUGUACUGCACCAUCAUGAUCAUGUUUAUUAAGAUUAAGUUAAAUUCUGUAAUGCAAUUAUUACCUAGCUUUAUAGCCUCAAUACACAUUUGAGAUUUUACCUUUUUUAAUACAGGUAUAUAUUAUGUCAUUUGAGAAUGACUCCUGCCCCUUUUUCAAAACUCAUAUGCAUGUAUGUAUUUCCUUAAAUCUCAUGAGUUUGCAAGAAUUCUUCCAAUGACAGUUUGUAUAAAGACAGGAAUUAACUUUUUAAAAAUGUUGCUGCGUAAUUUUUGUAAGAGAAUGUGUCUUCACACAUGACAUUAGUAUAUGUGUAGUUCCUGCAAGUUUGCCGCAAGUUUGCAACAAACAAUUGCCGCAAGCUUGCGGUAAAUCUAAUUUGCAUAAUUAUGUUUGCAGCAAGCUUGCUGCAAACUUCAUUUGCAUGGUAAAAUGGUUGCGGCAAGUUUGCAGCAAACAUUUGCUGCAAGCUUGCGUCAAUGUUUACCGCAGGGCUUUUUUUUCGGUAAGGGUAGUGCACCAUUGGUUAUAAUUUGAAAAAAAGCUAUGUUUAUGGUUUUAUAUUUAUUUUAUCAAUACUAUACAAUAUAUAUGUAUAUAAUUUAGGGGCCUUUAAUAAAUGACGGUGCAGUAGGGGUUUUGCUCAUUGCGGAAUGUGACCUUUUGUUGUUUUUACUUCUGUGUCAUUUGGUUUCUGGUGGAGGAGAGUUGUUGCAUUGGCAAUCAAACCACAUCUUACUUUUAUAUAUUUACACCAAGAAUAAAAACCAAGAACUUUACACUUUUAGAAAAAAAAGAUGGUUGAUUAUGCCGCCGCAAAAUAUAAAAGGAGGAAACCAUUGAUGAUUACAGCAAUAACUCAUGAACUAGAGGAGAAGAUAUAAAGGGACAAUCAAAAUACCAUAAGUGGAAGAAACAGAGAUAGUUCAACCAUGGCCAAAAGAGAAAAAGCUUAGUCAAAUACCGAUAACUUAACAUUGAAUGACAAAGAUGUCAUCCAAUACCUUGUUUGAACUCAUAUGCUCCGUAAUGGACUAACUUUCUCUUUUAAAUUGUUUUACAUAUUUCAUUUCGGUGCCUUUCAUAGCUGACUUUGUGAUACUGGUUCUAUUCAUUGUUGAAGGCCAUACGGUGACCUACAGUUGUUAAUUUCUGUGUCACUUGGUCUCUUGUGUGUGCGGAGUUGUCUCAUUGGCAAUCUUCAUAUCACAUCUUCCAAUUUUAAGACACUGGAAUUUCUGACAACAGACAGCAGCAUUCCGGACUAUUUUGAAUGUGUAUCCACAUUAGUCUAGGAAUGAAGAACAAAACAAAAAUAGAUACAGAUACACUAUAAAUGAUAACCGAGU